rnacentral:lncRNA from 1 species
GGUUGGAGGCGCAGCGGCCCCGCGAGCAGACGCGCAGGCUGGAAAUGACUCUCCCUGAAGUUAAUUCCUCAAUUGUCCUUGCACUGUCAGAUGCCUUUCUUUCUGAAGGAUUUCCUUAAUCCGCUGUGGUACUUUAAGUGGCUGUCUUGAUAACACCAAAUGUCAUCUGGCAAGUGAAUGACCUUACCUGCUAUCCACAUAUAUUGUCAGAGGGAACUGUGAACUUUGUUUUGGCUUUAAUUUUAAGAGCCUGAAUCCCAAGGCAGAUAUCACAAACAUGAAGACCUAUCCUAUUCCUGCUUCUGUACAUUGCUGGAGAAUAAUAGAAUUAUUGCUCUUUUUAUUUGUGUUUAUUUUUCUAUUUUUGGAAGAGCUACUCAUUGUUAAGUGAUAGAGAAAGAAUGCCAAUAAACCAAUACCUGGGUGAAUCAUGGACUGAGAGUAACCCUGCUGCGGAUGCUACAAAGAUACUGCUGUGUCUUUCAAACCAGGAGAGCUUGAAAGUGACUAUUUACAGUACCUCUUUAUAAAACGUUGCCCUCAGUUUAAGUUGUGCUAUGACAAAACAAAUGGCUCUGAUAAACACUGGAGUCUAUUCUUCCUAUGCUAGCGACAGCAAAGCCUGGACAUACUCCUGAGCCUAGUUUACAGAAGAUUCUCUGUUUAGAGGCAGAGUUGACAUGGCUUCUGUGCUGAAGCAAAUA